rnacentral:lncRNA from 1 species
GGGCUCUCUUGGGUCCCCAGUGCAUGGGCUGGAGUGUGGCCCCUGGCGGAGCCCUGGAGGCCGGCUCAGCUUCCUGCCCCCUUCCAGCCUGGAGCAGCCCGAGGGCGCAGCAUUCCUGGGACAGGCCUGAGCCCUGUGGUGGGCUGAGUUGAGUCCCCAGAAAGGAUCUAUGAAAGAUAAAAUGUGGUGUGAGGACACGGCCCAGCCCCACCAUCGUCUUCCAGCCCCACCAUCGUCUUCCAGCCCCACCAUCGUCUUCUUGGACUCUCUGGGUAGCACCACGCUGUGGGUGCUGCUCUCCUCUGUGUCCCAAACGACUUUAUGCCUCACUUUAUCGGGUUUUGGCUGUGACUUGGAGCCUCACCAAGCUCCCUUUUCCUCUGUCUCCCAUUCUCCUCUCCAGGCCAGGGUGGCUUCCCCAGCCCUCCUCCCCGGGUCCUGCCUGUGCGGAGCUUUCCUCCCAGGAGGGAGGUGAUACUGACUUGAGAUCCUAUGGGUGUUUUGUUUGUGGCUGGGCCUGGCCGACCCUCUCUCCACGGCCUUAGAUCACACUCUAGGUGGACAGUACAGUCGUCCUCAAUACUGAGCCUCUUUGGAACAUACCCACUGAUGGUGGUUCACAAGCUACCCACGGCCACAAGCUGACCCAUAUCUCCGUGAAAUUAAAAAAUACUGUGAAAGGAAAAAGAGCCAAUGUCAUGUGGAUAAUGAAGUGUCAGCCACUGAAAAAUCUCAAAAUAAUAAA